CCUCCCAGAUAAUUUAGAAGACUCAGAGAGAAGGAGGUUUCAUAGCAGUUUAUAUACAUUUUACAAAAUAUCAGAGCAGUAAAAGCAUUGGGCACAUUAGGCUUACACAUGUAGUAAAAUUAGAUAAUAAAUAAAGCCAAUCACAACAGAUAUUCUAUGCUCGAAUUCUUAUACCUUGAACCGGAGUUUUGGGUUUGGUUCCGUAGUAGAGUCGCCAGAGCUGUCACACCUCCUUUUUUAUUCACCACCCAGAAGGAUAGUAUAUAAGGAAGUUUUUUCACUUAAAGUGAUAUUAUUCGAUAUGGGAUCAUUUAUUCAAUUCAAAAUCGACACUUGGGAUAUUUUAAUUGGUGUCCCAAGUCACCGGUUUAUUUUAAUUCCCAAUCAAGGAAAAUUUUGAAUUUUCUUUUGAAGUCUGCAAACCAGAAAUUCUGAAUAAGAAAUUCUAUUAACCUGAGGGAAGGUGUUAGGCACUCCUGGAUUCCGUGGUUCUAGCACAGUCGCUUAAACUGUCAUAAUUGGCCUAUUAUCUGAUUAUAAAACACCUCUAAACCUAUGGUAUAAUUUUAACUUUUUAAACCGCUUUUAAUUAUUAUAUUUUUUACGAAGAUUUCAACAUCAUCUAAAAUGUGUCUUGGGACCAUGCCACAUGAAAUGCACUCGCAGUCCGAGAUACAUUUCAUUUAACGUUGUGAGAUUUGGAUUUGAGUCACAUGAGAUGUGCACCUGAGAAUAAGAAUGUAAAUUAUUAAAGUAACGCGCCAAAAGCAACUACGCAUUUUAACUUUGUGAGGGCCAUGAAAAAUUUGCUAAAUGGCACGCCUCAAUUUCUAAGUAUUUUAAAAAAAAAUAAUAAAUGAGGGCCAUGCAUUUAUUGAGAUUUUAUUUGGCACGAUGCACCUCAGUUCCAAUUUAAAAAGGGAAUUUAAGCUAAACUUUUGAAGGCCACAAAUCGUGACUUCUCUAAUAGCUCUCCUCAAAUUAACUAGAAGGGCUUACAAAUUAAAUAAGGGCUAGGGAAAUUGUAAUUAAAGCCCAUACUCAGAUUGUCAUUUCAUGGUUCAAUAAAGAAGAGUAUAUGAUUCAUUACUUAAUAAGAAGAAGCUUGGACCUAACAACAAGCCCAAAAUUCUACCAAAGUCUCUACCUUGAGGCAGAGAACCAAAGGACUCCUCGGGGCAGCGAAUUCCCCUGCAUUUCACCAUGACUUUCAUAUUCAGGCCCAAAUGUGGCCUAAAUAUUACAAGAUAUAAGCUGUAGGCGAAAAAACAGAAUUGAGCCUAAAUGGAAACAAGCUGAUAUACAAACGAAAGAGACAUGCCAAAUGACCCUUACAUGUUACUCGUUCCUUUAAAAAAACAAACAACCUUAUAUUAUACCUUGCUAUCGAAUUCAAAUUUUUAUGUUAAAACAUUUCAUUGAAAAAAAUAGAACAAACCAUAUAAUCAUCGCUUAAUGCAAACCUUAAGCAAUGUAAACAUGCUGACACAUUUAAACUUUGAAUAGUUAACCAAAUGAUACUGAAUCCUCAAGAAUCAACCUUCAAACAUCACACAAAAUCAAUAGCCUUAUAACACUAUUACAGGUAAGACUAUUUAAAUUUUUUCAGAAAGAAUACCAAGCUAAACUUAAACUGAGCCUUAUGUUAACAGAUAUAAUAGGAUAGAAACAGGAUCUUAAAACCACCAAAGCUAUUCACUUAUCACAAACCACAAUAGUUAGCCAACAAAUUCUAUCAAUACAAUUAUGUUAUAUGAAUUCUCCCUAACACUAACAGUCCUUAACUUGUAAACCAAACUCCAGUUUUACCUGAACCUCCAAAAAUCAUACUAAAACCUUCAACAUGAUUCUUGGACAUUUUAGAUUCAUUCAAGAGUAGAAGUUAAAUACAAAACAUACUUUCAUAGUCGUAUUUAGCUUCAUUAGUCACAAAAACAUCUACAAAAUGUGCUCAUAUAACUCCUAAACAUGCUAUCUAAUAUUGAAACUAAACAUCUAACUCCAAACACUAGCACGACUUUAUAAUAUGCAAGUAACAGCUCAUUUAACACCUAUCAUUACAGGUCUACUACAUGAUAUGAAACAAUAAGAAAAAUAGAGAAAACCUAAGUCAACACAGCUUGUAUUCCAUCAGACUUCUAGUUGAAUUACAUAAUCAACAUUCAAUCAAUGUUCAUAGGCUAGGGGAUACCUGGAAAUGAAAGGAAACAAGAGGUGAGGGAUCAGCAAUAGCAGUAGCAGAAGUUAGCCCAAAUGCAGUCAAUGAAACAGUGAAACCAAUAGAACAGUAGAAAAACUUUCAAACCAAACUCUUCCCAAGCCCAAGUUCAAUCCAUUUUCACCCAGAUGGCUCGGAAAUUGUUUCAGAAAAGGAAGACUUCAGAAAUCACAGACCAAAACUCAAUGGAACUGUAAUUUUUAUAAAAUUUUAACCUGUUUUCUAUUUUGCAAAAUUUUUCUCCUCCAAGUCUGCCCUAAAAUCUCAAGUAACAACGCAUUUAUAGGAAAACCAUUAGGGCAAACUUAUGGGCUCAGUUUUUGCUUUUUUUCUCCUUUCCCAAUUUUAGUUUUUGCUACUUAAUCCGUGAAAUAUUGACUUGCUUCCAAGUAAGGCUGUUUUGUAGCUUCUUGGAAGCUUGCUAGAUUAGUUAUUAAAAGAUUCCCAAGGUUGACUUCCUAGAUUACCCUUAAACCCCCUGUUAUUUCCUCUCAACAAACCACAUAGGUCAAUUUUGACCCAAAACUUAAACAAAAAAUUCAUGCGCUUCUCUUGAAAAUGGGCCUGAAAAUCCCAAAGCCCAAACGGCUUAGUUCAAGGCAUUUUGUUUUUGCUUCAGGGAACCCAAAUGGUUAUGGGUCAAAAUAACCCAAUGUUCCCCAAUAACAAAGCCUGCGCUAAACCCCUUCCUUUUACACCCAAGUCCAAUUCAGAAAAAAAGAAGAAGAGAAAAAUCAAAAAGGCAGAAUAAAUAAUAAACAAAGCAUUUUGGAAUCAAAUAGACUUCUGAGCCAACUCGCCCCUUUAGAUCAAAACUAAAAGAAAAUAAAAUAAACUAAAACAAAAUUAAAUGAUAUACCAAUUAACGAUUAGCCUGUAUUAAAGGGGCACAUGCAGAGGUGAUUUUGAUAAAAUAGAUGAAGAGAAUAAAAAAGGAUACAACAAAGAAUAAAAUUAAAUCAAAAAUGACAAAAGAAAUCAUGCAAGACCAGCAAAUGAACAAAAAUACCUGCCAACCUUGAUGUUCUUCGUCAAUCUCUCGAUUUUGACUGAAAGGGGUCUCAAUCAUGUAGUCUCGCAUGAAAACAUAUGACCAAGGUCCAUUUUGGUCCUAAUCGUCACCAAAUCUGCCGAUUUUUAGAGUUUGACAUUUUUGGUCUAAACUUCAAUUUAAGAUUCGACGAGCUCGGGGCAUAUUCAAGGAAAAUGAACUACACAUUUGGAACAAAGAGGGCUUAGAGGUCAUAUGGUGUUCGUUUGAGGUCGCAUAGUGGUGGCGCCCCCACCGGGGAAAGUAAGGGUGCUAGGGUUCCGCCCUUUGAUCUAAAAUUUGAGGUGUAUCAAACGGUUUUGAGAUGAACGGAGUGGGGAUUUUGGAUAGGGAGGUGGAGGAGAAGCACUGGUUUAAUUUUUGAAGUGAUUGGCCACCGGACACCACCGUGGGCGUUUUCCGGCAGGUGGCGGAUGGUGGUUCAAGAUGGCGUUUGGUUGGGGUCUCUGAGGGUGAAGUGAGAGAUGACAAGGGAGCAGGGGGUGUUUGGACAUAUAAGUAUAUAAUGACCUAUCAGUUCUGGAUCGUUAGAUUAGAGAAAAUCGACGGUUGAGAUUGAAUAGUUGUGAAACGGGGUCGUUUGGAUGGUAAGGGGCUGGACCGGGUACAAAUGCGGGUUUGGGC
rnacentral:lncRNA from 1 species